GGGCUUUGGUUUAGGUAGGGUAUGAAAUUUGAAAAACGGUUUUUUGGUUCAGAGUACAUGAAAUCAUUCUCUCACUACGUUUCUUUCCUAUUAUUCCUGUAGGGUUUUGCAAUCCUCUUUUCCUUUUAUUAUAGUGAAUGUAGCAUUUUUCAAAAGCUGAUCUUUUAUUGUUUUUCGCUUUUCUCUUUCUUUCUUUUCAUGUUGUUGUUGUUUUUUUUCUUUUUUUUUUCUUUUUUUUUUCUUUUUUAUACGACAUUCACUUACGAUUCACGUACUGCAAAGCUACCCCAAACUUAAAGGUUGCUAUUCCAACAGCAACCCCAAACUUAGAUAGAAACGAAGAGCUGAAAUCAAUCCUCACAUACUCUGAACCGGGUAGGAUAGGUACAAGGUCAUGGCUUUAGAAAAAAAAAACGGGUAUAUCAAAAAUAAAUGAUUAACAGGCUCAACAGGGUAAAACAAUGGAUAAUAAU
rnacentral:lncRNA from 1 species